UACAGAGGGUGCAAGCGUUAAUCGGAAUUACUGGGCGUAAAGCGUGCGCAGGCGGUUUGUAAGCCAGAUGUGAAAUCCCCGGGCUUAACCUGGGAAUGGCAUUUGGGACUGCAAGGCUGGAGUGCGGCAGAGGAGACGUGGAAUUCCUGGUGUAGCAGUGAAAUGCGUAGAUAUGCGGAGGAACACCGAUGGCGAAGGGCAAUCCCCUGGGCCUGCACUGACGCUCAUGCACGAA
rnacentral:rRNA from 1 species